rnacentral:lncRNA from 1 species
AUACCCUCAUCAUCACUAUUACCAUCAGCCAGCCCAGCGCUCAGAAGAAGGGUCGGCACAGAGCGAGCGGUGGGAGAAAUACCCUCGUCACGGUGCCGGCGCCGAGGCAGUAGCCCAGCGCUUAGAACAGUGCUCGGGCCCGAGUCGGACGGCGAGGAGGGGCAGAGCGGGACGGAGGGUUGUGGGCGCCGCCCGGGAGGGAAAGGAAAGGAAGGGAAAGGAAAGGAAAGGAAAGGAAAGGAAAGGAAAGGAAAGGAAAGGAAAGGAAAGGAAAGGAAAGGAAAGGGAAGGGAAAGGAAAAGGAAAGGGAAGGGAAAAGGAAAGGGAAGGGAAAGGAAAAGGAAAGGAAAGGAAAGGAAAGGAAAAGGAAAGGGAAGGAAGGGAAAGGAAAAGGAAAGGGAAGGGAAAGGAAAAGGAAAGAAAAGGAAGGGAAAGGAAAAGGAAAGAAAAGGAAGGAAAAGGAAAGAAAAGGAAGGGAAAAGGAAAGAAAAGGAGGGGAAGGGAAGGGAAAAGGAAAGAAAGCGAAGGGAAGGGAAAAGGAAAGAAAGCGAAGGGGAAGGGAAGGAAAGAAAGCGAAGGGGAAGGGAAGGGAAGGGAAGGGAAGGGAAGGGAAGGAAAGGAAAGGAAAGGAAAGGAAAGGAAAGGAAAGGAAAGGAAAGGAAAGGAAAGGAAAGGAAAGGAAAGGAGGGCUGUCACCUGGCACGGCGGAGGACGGGGGGCUCGCUCCCCGCCCCCCGCCCCGGGGGGAGACCCCGACGCCUGAGGGCACACGGGCUGCGCGCCUGCUGUCCGCUGGAUGCCCGCUGGAUGCCCGCCUGGUGUCUGCUGGCUGUCCGUUGGAUGCCCGCCGGGUGCCCGCCGGGUGCCCGCCCGGUGUCCGCUGUGCUGCCGGAGCUUCCCUGCCCCGCGGCCCCGGCGGACAAGUGCAGCCCGCGCGGCGACGGCGGCGGCGACGGCGGCGGCAGGACCCUCGGCCGCCUCCGCCUCCUCCUCCGCCCCACCAACUUUUCUUCGGACCGUUUCCCCGGGUCCGACCGGCCGGCGGGACCCGCCCCCUCCGCCCCCUCCGCCUCCCAUUGGCUCCCGCCCGGACUUCUCCCGGCACAGAGACUGGGCGGG